GUUUUGUAUACCUAAUAUAAUAUACACAUGUCAACCAUCAUAUUACCAUUUUAAAUAUACCUUUUUAAAUCUACAAUCAAAAGAAAUCGAAAGGUUCCGAAAGGGACAAUCAUAUGACAUUUCCCGUUCAUUUUUGCAAUAGAAGUUGGCUAUCGACACUUUCGAGACUCAAUUUAUCAAUUCUUUUAACGAACGGUUGUGUGAUCCGGGCU
rnacentral:lncRNA from 1 species